rnacentral:lncRNA from 1 species
GUUAUCAACAUGUUCAGCAAUUCGGACAAAGUGCAAUCAAUCUUAUUCUUAUGGUAGUUCUGAAGGAAAAGAAAACUUUUUCUCUUCGAAUAGUUCAAGUUGCGUCUAAAAAUUUUCUAUUAAUUUACAUGAAUAAGGAUCAAAUCCUUACUUGAUUAGUAGCAGAACCAAAGAUCAAAUCUCUAAAAAUCUGAAACAAACCUUCAUGGAGGCUUGAAAGUGUAGAUCCUCUACUUCGCAUACACGCCAGACGACAUAGAAAAGCGGGAUGAACUCCAAUCAAAUUACCUUCACAACCCAAUCAUACGAGGGAGGAGAGGCACUGGUGUGAUGCCUCACACAAGCAAAGGGACCCCCA